UCAUGAACAGCAAAACAGCUGAAAAGUGCAACUACUGAAUUACAAUCUGUCAUGAAAUUCAGUUCUGCUGCCUCUGGCUUGAAUCAUGUUCCUGUUCCACUACAGGUGUCAAUUAAAUAACCAAAGACGUUUGUGUUAUCAUUAAUGACUGCUCCUUUGCAUGCUCACUAUGCUUGUUCUACAUACAUUUAAUGCCCUUUAAUGUGAUUGUCAAAGACUAGUUUGCAUUUCCAUCUGACUUCCCUGUUUACUUCCCUCCCCUUCAUCCACAUCUGCCAACUGAGGAAAAAAUGCCUCCUGGAUCUAAUGAACUCCAGUCCACAAAAGUUCAUGCCAUUCUCAGUUCUUGCCUGGCUAGAAUUUCUUGGUCUGCAUUCCUCAAUCCACUUUCUCCAGGAAUUGACCUGAAAAGGAUUCCCUGGGGAAAGUGAAAUAAACAGAGAUCUCAUCCCUACUGGAGUCUCUUGUCCCUGAUUUCAACAGAAGUGCACUAGAAAAAGAGAAGAAGCUUCAAAAGAAACCUGUGGACAGACAGCCUUUGUACAUGGAGAAAUGAGAAUGUAUUCGCAGACAAAUCUUGACCUGAGGGAGAAGGCUGGGGGAAUCUGGAUUUUCAAUAACAUAAGACAAUAAAGCUCAGACUUCUAACCUGCUGCAAUAUGGUAAAAGUAUAAAGAGCUUAGCAACUAAUAAAAGGAAAGGGUCUUCCAACUCAUAUUUGAAGAUCUAGACCCCAAAAGGACACUCCAUAAAGAUCAUAAUGGGUUAGUCAGUAUCUAACAGAUACGAUGUACCUUGUUGACCAAUUGUCUGACAGUUGUCUUUUGUAGGGUCUGGAUAUUAAUAAGUCUCGGGUUGAUUUCCUUUGGGUAUUAGGCCUCAUAAUUGUACAUCUACUUGUUGUGACACUGCAGCUUGCUAUAUAUUUAUUUAAUGUGAUUCCUGUAGGGAUUCAAAAAAGAAGAAGGAAGGAAGACAGAAAUGGAGGAAUGCUGUUGCAUUUCUGUGAUCAUAUGCACACAUUGCAAAUUUUAUCUCCCUCUGAGCGAGGAAGAAACACUGACGGCCUGAAGAUUUGCUAGCUUUUUCUGUUGACGAUCUUUUGUUGAUGAUCUUUGAAGAAACAGAACUACAUAGGUAAUUGUCAGACUAAAAGUUCUUUCUUUUUAUUCCUGAAAGUGUUUGGACACACAUUGUGAACAGAUGAACAACCCAUAUGAGUAAUUCCUGGGGUUUUGCAUUAGGUUUCUUGGCUAUCAUGCUAGCACUUCUUUCCUGGUUUCUAACAUUUCUUUUACACUGCAUUACCUGUUGCAUUAUGGAACGGUGGCUUUUUGAUCGAUAUACUGCCAUGUCAUGCUAAAUUUCAUUUACACUCGUGGGUGUGCAAAUGGCAAUAAACAGAUGAUUUAUAUGGU